rnacentral:rRNA from 1 species
CAGCAGCCGCGGGAAUACGUAGGGUGCAAGCGUUAAUCGGAAUUACUGGGCGUAAAGCGUGCGCAGGCGGUUUGUUAAGACAGAUGUGAAAUCCCCGGGCUUAACCUGGGAACUGCAUUUGUGACUGGCAAGCUAGAGUCUGGCAGAGGGGGGUGGAAUUCCGCGUGUAGCAGUGAAAUGCGUAGAUAUGCGGAGGAACACCGAUGGCGAAGGCAGCCCCCUGGGCCAACACUGACGCUCAUGCACGAAAGCGUGGGGAGCAAACAGGAUUAGAUACCCGGGUAGUCCCUGUCUCUUAUAC